rnacentral:rRNA from 1 species
UACGGAGGGUGCAAGCGUUAUCCGGAUUCACUGGGUUUAAAGGGUGCGUAGGCGGCCAGGUAAGUCAGUGGUGAAAUCUCCGAGCUUAACUCGGAAACUGCCUUUGAUACUCUCUGUCUUGAAUAUGGUGGAGGUAAGCGGAAUAUGUCAUGUAGCGGUGAAAUGCUUAGAGAUGACAUAGAACACCUAUUGCGAAGGCAGCUUACUACGCCUAUAUUGACGCUGAGGCACGAAAGCGUGGGGAUCAAACAGG